AGAUGAUUUGGGUGCUAACUUUUCUUACUGAUCACAAAAGAAAUUUAAAUAGGUAUCAAUUUUCCUGAUUUUCUGAAUUUUCCUACAGCUUAUAAUUUGGAAACAAAUAUUAGUUUAUGACUCAGGAUGGAACUUAAUUUGCUGAUUUUUCAUAUUGUGUUGCUCUGGAUCACAGAUCCUUCAUUAAGCAGCAAAAUCAUUCAGACUACUGAUGUGAUCGAAAAUCCAGGAAAUAACGUGAACCUCAGUUGCACACAUUCAUACAAGAAUUAUUUUUACCUUUAUUGGUACCAACAAACAAGACAGGACACAUCACUGAAGCUUACAGGAUAUCUCUACACAACCACCUUAUAUAAAGAGACAGACUAUGAGAAGCGCUUUCAUAUUUAUGGAGAUGCAAAAAGUGAAGGAACCCUGCAGAUCUCCAACCUUAAUUCACAUGACAGUGCAGUGUAUUUCUGUGCUGUUAGAGAAAGCACAGUGUUCAGCUUAUCUGCUACCUACUUCAAAAACUCACUGUAGUCUGCACAGCUCCAUCUGCUACUGUGGUGAUGCUCUGCUGCAGAAAGCAGGAGCAACAAUUGAUCUCUGACUUUAAUGUAAUAUUCCCUGAAAUUAUUAUGCUGUGUUUAAUAUGACAUUGUUAUUUUCUGAUAUGCUGUAUGAGU